UGUAUGUAUGUAUGUAUAUAUAUAUAUAUAUAUAUAUAUAUAUGUGUGUGUGUGUGUCAUGGUGAGUCCAAACACAAGAGAACUCGACACUAGUUCAAGCAAAUCUAAAAUUUACAAUAUAAAUAUAUGAGAAGGCUGAGUCUGUAGGCAGAGCAUGAAGUUGUGGGAAGGGUUACCCGGCCUAUAAAUAUACAGACCUCACCUUCCUCUGGGCCGAUACUUCCUGGUUCAGCCCACCCACUACUCUCGCUCCCACGGGUCUACCACAAUGUCGGUUUCGGCACACCACAACCGGUCUUUUUAUAGUGUGCUGUCUGUUUCUUAAUUGUACAGCUCUGCAGUAUAUGUUGGCACUUUAUAAAUGUCAGUAAUAACAAUAUCAUCCAUAAAAAAAAGAAAAUACAGAAAAGUGGUUUAAAGGUGUUUAUGGGUAAACAUAAAUGAAGUAGUCAAGUAUCUGAUUAAAUAUUUAACCAUUGCCUUCCCCACUAUUCUAAUGUGAAGAACAAGUAGUUUCCCUUUAUUCUGAUCUACAAGCAUCAUCACGCCAAAGUGAAUCAAUCUGAAUAUAGAGAAAGGAAUUAAUCAUUUACAUUGAGUAUUACUUAUCUCCCAGUCAUCUCUAUUUCAUUUGUUACACAAGAGAUACAAAGAAAAAGAAUGUGUAUACAUAACUACAGUGAUCUUUAGCAAAAUCAGUUUUGCCAUGUGAGAGCAAUAUUGAUCUUUACCUGAUGUCAUAACUGUUAUGAACUGUAUCAAAACCAUUUUGUGCCUGCAUGGACUUAAUUUCAUCUGUGCUGAAGAAUUUUAGAGGUCAUUAAAACUUGGUAGAGAGGGGGGAGGAAGGAGGGACAUUAUAAGGGUAGAAGAAUCUAUGAGAAUACGUGCAAGUUGUCUUUUGUCUCUCUAACACCUCUGAGUGUCCAACCAAAUGAUUGCUGUUUUUUGCUUUCUUCUGCUUUUAAGCUUUUCUGGCUAGUAAUAGAUAUUGUGAAAUAGAAUUUUACAAUUCUUAAUCAUAUAAUUAUAUUUGAUGUGAAGAAGAUCCACGCCACUUCUAUAGUGCCACAGCUAUUAGUUCUAUGUAUCACUAUGCAUCAGUAGAGUUCCUUUGCAACUCUCCAAUAUUGUCAAUAUUGUUGUAUGUAAGUCUACCUAUGCAUAAAAAGAACUCCAGGCUUGACAAUGAAAGCCUCUAAAUGUAUUUAAUAAGUUAACACACCAAAGUAUACAGAGAACAAUUCGGUGAAUUCCUGUUUAGUUCAUAAGCAUGCAACCCAAUGUAUACUGAGAAUAAACAAGUCAAACCAAUUCCCUUCGGUGAAUUCCUGUUGAGUUCGUAAGCGGCACUGUCACUGUCUGCUGGAGACUUGCAGAAUUUGCAAAGAACCCAGAUGGUGACAUUGCUAUUGGGGGUCUGGUGGUUGAGGGACAGUUCCCUUUGCAGUCCCUUGCAUGAAUGGCCAUCUUCUUCCAUUAGGACCUCUUCGACGCCAGGAGCCAAUGUCACUGCUGUACUGUCACUCAUGCCUGAGAGAACAGCAUUGAGGUCUAUUUAGAAUGCCACAAGACCACAGAGCCAUUUCCCUACAGCCAUCACUGGGUACAGCUGAGGGGAUUGACACUUCUAACCUAUCUAGCUUACCCAGUGUUUAGAAGUGUCAGGUGGAGGAAAUAUAUGGAGACAAAGUAGUCCCUACUUCGUCUCUGUAUAUCUCUUGACUGGGUUACAAUUUCAGUGAAAUUCACAGUCAAAAUAAGUGUUUUAUAAAUAUUCUAUCUUUACAAAAAAAAUAUUUUUUCCGAGGGGAUGACAGAGCUGCUUUAAGUUAUUUUGAGCUACCAUUAUAUAGAGAACCUCAUCAUUGAGUGUUGCAGAUACCACUCUAUACACAGUGUGCAAGGAGUCUACAUCCGGAUUGCAUUUAACCUUGGGGAGACUUUAGACAAUUAGUGUGGCUGAUAACCACUCGAUGCUUUAGGUAGUCCCUAGAGAAUUAGCAAACAAACCAAAACAUAGCAUUACAGAAUAUGGGGAAUGGAUAACAACUCAAAUUGCUUUCUCUCUCAGGUGGAAGCUAGUUUUAGCUCAUGUGAUUUGCAUAUCAGACUAAUCCCACCCAAAAGGGAAGUCCAAAUUGGGUCCGCUCCCUCUGUACAAGAGAUACAGCAAUUUCAGACGUUUUGACUGUGGUGGUCCACAUCAGUGAAGUGUGGCUGAUACUCCUCUGGGCAAGGGGUCCACAUCUGGAUUAUCCUUCUAUCUUGGAUUCAUUGGCUAAGAGUGUCAGCUGAUAAUCAAAAAUGGUUUGAUUCGUUAUAAGGGAGGUUGACACCAAUGGACUCCAAGCACCAUAAUCAUUUCAGGAUGCUUUGAGUUCUGCUUUAAAACUCUCCUGUUCAUUGCACAUAAUUGCUAAUUGAUGGCUCUACAAACUUUAGAUCAAUAUAAAGUUUGCCAUAGUAAAACAUGACAGAAUGAAGUAAUAGUUUUAAAUAUAUUUAUAAAAAUAUAUUUUAAUUUUUUUUUGGGGUGGGGGAAUGGUUACACAACACUUAACUGUUACCCUUUCUUUCUACUUAUUUUUUGUUGUUGUUAUUUCAAAUACAAAGCAUACGUAUUCACUACAUGUCCAGUGAUGAGAAAAUGAACGUACACCCUCUUUGAAUUAUAUGGUUUUACACAUCAGGACAUACUAAUGGAUUCUCCAUUUUGGCUUUUUAUUUUUUAAAUAAAUCAUAAAAAUGUGUAAUAUGUCAUGUGUUGUUUAACUGUGGUUUUGUGUUCCUAAUUUGCUAAGGAGCAGAUGAUUAUGUCCUGAUAUGUAAAACCAUAAAAUUCAGAGAUGGUGUACUUUAUUUUUCCCAUUACUGUAGAUAUGACUGGGCCAAAAAAAAUGUGUAUUUUUAAAGUGUCUGAGUAUUCACGGUUCAUGGUUUAGUCAUGUUAAUAGGUUAAUUCACUCAUUUGUGGUCUGCCAGGUUCUUUAAACAUUUUGAAUUGUGUAUGUAUCUGCAGUUGUUUAUUUUUGUAUUCAUCCAUCCAAAACUAGAGUGAUUCGUUUUUGUAUAGUUUACAUUUUCACAGUUAUGCCUUAGAGCAAAGAAAUAUAGGAGAAAUGCAAAAUAUUUCCAGUUCCUAAGCUCCUGUUUUUUGCAAAUGUUCUAUUUUUCGAAUUCAUCAUGACACUUUCAUAAAUGUUAAAGUUAGCUUUUCAUGUGUAGGUAAAAGGUCUGCACUAAUUGUAAAAUGCAUCUAUCCAUUUAUUGUUCUAUUGAAAUUGAAAAUAAAUCUACAGAGCAAAUACUAUAUAAAUGUAAUGGGUUUUAUAAUUACCUUUGAGAACAUGUAUAUAUAGGGUACUGCAUACAUCAAUGAAGAUUUGUUCCUCAAACAAAAGGUACUAUUUUAUAUUUUGUUUCCACGUGAGGCUGCAUUUAUUUUAUGUGGGUACAGUUUGCCUUUCUAAUACAAUAAAAUGUUACAUGAACUCUUAAUUUUCAAAUAUGGAUCCAUUUACCUCACUUACAUUGUUUUAGUGACAAGAAUACGAUUUUGUGUACAGUGAUUUUAUUAUUUGUUAAUUCUUACAUUUUCUUGAUGAAUCAUUAACCCAAAUUAUUAACGCUUAUGUAGCAAAUGAAUGGCAUCACCUUGAUGAUGUUGAUUAUAAUGUAAUCAUUCAUAGCUUGCUAAAUAGACAUUUACUGUAUAUAUUCAAGUGUAAACAUCUCCUUGGCAUUGCCAUUUUUAUAGUUAAAUAAGUUUAUUAUUCUUUUACUGCAUGAAAGAUGUUGUAUUCAUUUUACUGGUACUUGUUCACAUUUGUAAAACCCAUUACUAUUUUUUUUUUAAUUUCACUUCACUUUCAACAUUUUUACAAUGUUAAUGCAAUUGAAAUAUGAAUAUUACAUUUUGUAUUGUGUCAUAACUGGG